AUUGAACGCUGGCGGCAGGCCUAACACAUGCAAGUCGAACGGUAACAGGUUAAGCUGACGAGUGGCGAACGGGUGAGUAAUGCAUCGGAACGUGCCCGAUCGUGGGGGAUAACGCAGCGAAAGCUGUGCUAAUACCGCAUACGAUCUGAGGAUGAAAGCGGGGGACCGUAAGGCCUCGCGCGAUCGGAGCGGCCGAUGUCAGAUUAGGUAGUUGGUGGGGUAAAGGCUCACCAAGCCGACGAUCUGUAGCUGGUCUGAGAGGACGACCAGCCACACUGGGGCUGAGACACGGCCCAGACUCCUACGGGAGGCAGCAGUGGGGAAUUUUGGACAAUGGGCGAAAGCCUGAUCCAGCAAUGCCGCGUGCAGGAAGAAGGCCUUCGGGUUGUAAACUGCUUUUGUACGGAGCGAAAAGGCUCUCUCUAAUACAGGGGGCUCAUGACGGUACCGUAAGAAUAAGCACCGGCUAACUACGUGCCAGCCGCCGCCGUAA
rnacentral:rRNA from 1 species